rnacentral:rRNA from 1 species
AUUGAACGCUGGCGGCAGGCCUAACACAUGCAAGUCGAACGAGUGGCGGACGGGGGAGUAAUGUGUGGGAAAAUGCCUGAUAGAGGGGGAUAACUACUGGAAACGGUAGCUAAUACCGCGUACCAUACCGUGUGUCCAGAUGGGAUUAGAUAGUAGGUGGGGGAACGGCUCACCUCGGCGACGAUCCCUAGCUGGUCUGAGAGGAUGACGAGCCACACUGGAACUGAGACACGGUCCAGACUCCUACGGGAGGCAGCAGUGGGGAAUAUUGCACAAUGGGCGCAAGCCUGAUGCAGCCAUGCCGCGUGUAUGAAGAAGGCCUUCGGGUUGUAAAGUACUUUCAGCGGUGAGGCGUUACCCGCAGAAGAAGCACCGGCUAACUCCGUGCCAGCAGCCGCGGUAAUUC